rnacentral:rRNA from 1 species
AGCGAACGCUGGCGGCAGGCUUAACACAUGCAAGUCGAGCGCCCCGCAAGGGGAGCGGCAGACGGGUGAGAAACACGUGGGAACGUGCCUUUUGGUUCGGAACAACCCAGGGAAACUUGGGCUAAUACCGGAUAAGCCCUAACGGGGGAAGAUUUAUCGCCAAAAGAUCGGCCCGCGUCUGAUUAGCUAGUUGGUGGGGUAAUGGCCCACCAAGGCUACGAUCAGUAGCUGGUCUGAGAGGAUGAUCAGCCACAUUGGGACUGAGACACGGCCCAAACUCCUACGGGAGGCAGCAGUGGGGAAUAUUGGACAAUGGGGGCAACCCUGAUCCAGCCAUGCCGCGUGAGUGAUGAAGGCCUUAGGGUUGUAAAGCUCUUUUAGCAGGGAAGAUAAUGACGGUACCUGCAGAAAAAGCCCCGGCUAACUUCGUGCCAGCCGCCGCCGUAAUAC